rnacentral:lncRNA from 1 species
UGCAUGAGGAUUCUCUACUUCAUAGAGAUUUUAUUUCAAUUAUAUCAACAUUAUGGCAACAUGAUGCGCGUACUUUACCAAUCACAUUACUCACAAUCACGCAUAACUAUACCAACUCGAUGGUACAUAUAGAACAUAGGGGGGCUUCACUUGUUCUGGUUAGGUCAAACCCACCUAGUACUAGGCUCCAAAUCAGUCUCCAAAAGUCCGUAAUUCAGCUCCACUAGGCCUCAGCCCUGCUGCAAACGAAGCACGAAAUGCGCAUCGAAGCGAUUACAUAAGAAUCCAAUUUCGGCAAAUUCUCAAUUAAUACGAAGUGGAAGCUUAAUUCCCUGUUUUGGCUCAGUUCAUUACCUCACGUUCAGCUUCCGGAAGGCCCUCCAAUGCCAAACGAAGGUGGCCCAAAGGUCAAAUAUCCUCUCGCUGUGAUCAAUACCGAAACGGCGUCAAAAUGCUUGUAUAUGAGCU